UCCCUGGUGGUCCAGUGGCUAAGACUCUGCUUCCAAUCCAGAGGGCCCGGGGUUCAAUCCCUGGUCAGGGAA
rnacentral:tRNA from 1 species